ACUAUUUUGGUUAGCUUGAUAUCCUUUCAUGCUUAUGCUGAUAUUUCUUUCGAAAGCUCAUCAGAUGGUGGUAGAGGGAUUACAAACGUAAAGUCUGCUCUUGAGAAUAUUUUUGGUGAGAGUCUUGUUGAUGAAAAAGAUGCCUUCCUGAAAACAUUUUCAACUGAAAGUCAGUAUGUUCGGUCUGUUGUCUCAAAUGCUGAAACACUGCAGCAUAAAGUUUCAAAAAAUGGCUGUAGCACUGAAUCGAACUGUUCAGAUGUAGAGGUAUUCCGGAUCGCUGGCUCGCCUGUAGGGCAGCUUUAUAGUAGAUUGGUGCCGCUUGUACUACUGUUAGUGGAUGGUAGCAACCCUAUUGACGUCCUUGAUCCUGGAUGGGAAAUUUAUCUCCUAGUCCAGGCGGAUAAGUUGCUUGGUUUUGCAGCUGUUUAUCGUUUCUAUCGUUAUCCUGGCAGUACACGCAUGCGACUUGGGCAGAUACUGGUUAUGCCUCCUUACCAACGUAAAGGUUAUGGUCGUUUUCUUCUUGAGGUGUUGAACAGGGUUGCAGUGUCUGAAAAUGUGUACGACUUGACGAUUGAAGAGCCUGAGGAUUCUCUACAACAUGUUCGAUUAUGCAUUGAUGUUGAGCGUUUGCUUGUAUUUGAUCCAGUCCAGCAAUCCCUAGAAUCAGUUGUAUCACAUUUAAAGCAGGAAAAACUAUUGGAAAAAAGCUACAUGUGCAAGUAUGCUCCACCACUGAGUGCUGUUGAAGAUGUGAGGAAAACUUUGAAAAUCAACAAGAAACAGUUUACGCAAUGUUGGGAUAUUCUUAUCUAUCUUCGGUUGGCCCCAAUUGACAAAUAUAUGGAGAUAUACCAAGCAAUUGUUUCUCACCGAGUAAAGGCUGAAGUUUUAGGUAAAGAUUCAGAGGGUGCAGGGAAGCAAGUGAUUGAUGUACCAACUGAACACGAUCAGGAGAUGUCAUUUGUGAUGUUCAAAUCGCGGAAUGGUCAAUCUAGUAGUAGCAUAGAGACGGCUGACAAUCAAAGUAUUGUGGAGGAGCAGCUGCAGAAACUGGUGGAUCAACGAAUGAAACAGAUCAAGUUGAUUGCUGAAAAGGUUUCUUCGACAAAGGCAGCUGCUAUGAAGGCAGAAGUAAAAUUUCGACAUGAAAAAAAGGAGUCUCUGUAAGGUUAAAUUAGCUUAGUCUUUCAAUUAUAUAUGUCUGUGACUUGUUAUAACUAUUUGAUAUGAGGCAGCAUUCUGCAUUCUCUCUUGAACAAACUGUUAUGUGUA
rnacentral:misc_RNA from 1 species